rnacentral:snRNA from 1 species
AGCUUUGCGCAGUGGCAGUAUCAUAGCCAAUGAGGUUUAUCCAAGGUGUGAUUAUUGCUAAUUGGAAAGUGUAUGCA